rnacentral:rRNA from 1 species
CCUGACUGCUAUCGGAUUGGUACUAAGCCAUGCGAAGUCGUUGUAGCAAUACAAGGCGGACGGCUCAGUAACACGUAGUCAACCUAACUCGUGGACGUGGAUAACCUCGGGAAACUGAGAAUAAACCACGAUAGAUCAUAGUGCCCGGAAUGGCUUAUGGUCCAAACAGUUUACUGCCAUGGGAUGGGACUGCGGCCUAUCAGCUUGUUGGUGAGGUAAUGGCCCACCAAGGCGAUUACAGGUACGGGCUCUGAGAGGAGAAGCCCGGAGAUGGGUACUGAGACACGGACCCAGGCCCUAUGGGGCGCAGCAGGCGAGAAACCUUAGCAAUGUGCGAAAGCACGACUAGGUUAAUCCGAGUGAUUUCUGUUGAAGAAAUCUUUUGUCAGUCGUAAAACCACAGACGAAUAAGGGGUGGGCAAGUCUGGUGUCAGCCGCCGCGGUAAUACCAGCACCUCGAGUGGUCAGGACGUUUAUUGGGCCUAAAGCAUCCGUAGCCGGCUUUGCAAGUCUUCGGUUAAAUCCACCUGCUCAACAGAUGGGCCGCUGGAGAUACUACAGAGCUAGGGAGUGGGAGAGGCAGACGGUAUUCAGUGGGUAGGGGUAAAAUCCUCUGAUCCAUUGAGGACCACCAGUGGCGAAGGCGGUCUGCCAGAACACGUUCGACGGUGAGGGAUGAAAGCUGGGGGAGCAAACCGGAUUAGAUACCCGGGUAGUCCCAGCUGUAAACGAUGCAAACUCGGUGAUGCAUUGGCUUAUGGCCAAUGCAGUGCCGCAGGGAAGCCGUUAAGUUUGCCGCCUGGGAAGUACGGACGCAAGUCUGAAACUUAAAGGAAUUGGCGGGGGAGCACCACAAGGGGUGAAGCCUGCGGUUC